CUUUAACAUGUGACCUCAUGAGCAUGAAAGACCCCCAGAGUGGGGAGACCCUCACUCAAGUCUCAAGAUAAGCCGACGCCCCAAUAAUUCAAGAGAAACC
rnacentral:pre_miRNA from 11 species